UCUCUGGAGGACUAGUGGUUAGGCCACAGCGCUCUCACCACUGUGGCCCGGGUUUGAUUCUCGGCCAGGGAA